GAUCGGAAUCAAGACCUUGUGCUUGCGAAGCAGGCAGCUGAAAUGGUGAGCUAAAUCUCCAGCCUUUCAACAGCCAUUACCACAGUGACUAUGGGCAGAGCUCAGCCCAGUGUUUUAUCAUUCACCUAGGUGACAUAACAUCAGUGAGGAAAGCAGGCUUUGGCAAGAGAGGACCCAGAUGACUUCCGGCUCCUAUGGUGUAAUGAAGUAACAGCUGCCUUCGAGUUCUGAGGGAGAAGCCCACACCUUGUGCUCUUACCACUUGAUGGCAAAUGACACGCGUGCUCGGGACCUGCCUGCUGGGCCGCUCAGCGGAGGUCUCCCUGAGCCCCGGCACACACAGUCAGGCUGCCUGCACAGGUGUGCCUGGUGUGGCUCCAGGGGCGCCAUCCUCCCAACAGCCGUCCGGAGGAGGGGCAGGAAUACGAGUCCAAGAGAGACAGGGAUGAGGCCCAAAGCGAUGAGGUGCUGCUCUCAGAUCCUGGUGACAGAGCCAGGAUGUAUCCUCAGGCACCCUCAUUCCAGAGUUCCCGAGGCCUCUGUGCCCUUCUACCUAUUACUUACAGGCGCAUGGUGAUGGUAAACUCCCCUUGUAGCUUCCCUCUGGGGGCACUGGCAGCCCUGGAGAAAGUACUUUCCCUGAUCCCCUGUACCUUGAAGGGGGGCUCUCUCUCCCUCCCUCUCCCUUUCUUCCUCCAGGGAGAUGCACGGCACUGUACAUAUUGUCCCAUUAGAUGGAACCUCUGCAAUACAUGGAAAAUAACAAGGCCUUCUGCUGCCGCAUACAGCCUUUGUGAAGCCGUGCAGCUCUCGCCUCAGAGUUGGGAUUUUACUGCCUCUUUGCCCCACAACCAAAACAUGUAAAGCACAUUUAGGGUUUGCAAAUAGGAAUAGAAACAGUUUCCUUAUGGACUGUUUCCCCUGCAAGAUUUUUUUGUUUUUGUUUUUGCCUUUGUCGUUAGUGUUGCUUUUCUAGAAAUGCAUGUUUUGUGUUCCUAAAUCCCCUUCUCGGGCAGUUUUUCUGUAUAACAACUUUAAAGCUCAGACUUAGAAACUCCCAUCUUCUCUCUGCCGUGAGAACCAAGGUAUCUACUCACACUUCUUCAAGAGUCUCUCGAAUUUCAAGACUUCAACUUUGUAGGGUUUUUGUCAUUCUUCAAACCUGUGCCCUAUUUAAAAGUCUAACAUGGCUCAGGUGAUCUGAUUGGUCUGCUGCUUUGAUAAUUAUAAGAAAUACUGGGUGCACCUGAAGAAGUCAAAGUUCCAGGCUCUUCACACCUAAGCCUAUCGCUGCGCCUAGACCAGGACAGUAGUUCCCACACCUGACAGCCCGCUGGCUGACUACAGAUCGCCCAUAGCUCCUCCUGCUAAGUAUGAUUCACAGUUAGAGGGGGGGAAAGGAGCAAAGGAACAGAGACAUCCUCUCCUUGAUGACAAUUUUAUAUCUGCGUUGAAUUUAAACUGUAAGUAUCAGCCUUCUGGAUCCACUUUUUCUAAAACUCCAACUUCGAUGGCAAUUGUUUCAAGCAUGUUUUGUUCCUUUUUUUCCUUCAUGUAGCGUGUAUGUGCAGGUCACAGUGUGUGAACAGAUGGGGUAUGUGGCCGGGCCAACUCAUUAACAUUAGAGACAGGGGACCCAUUGUCCUCCUAUAACUCCCAUCCGUCUACCUUCAUUUCGGUCACCAGGGUACCUAGUGGUUCCGUUAGUGAGAGCGAUGAGCGCCUUAUUAAUAUCAGCUCCCUAAAAUGCUGCUACUUGGUGUUCAAGAAGCUGCUUGCCAAUAUUUUGCGAAUCACUGAAACCUCAAUGAUUUCACUUACUAAGUUGCCGCUGAUAAUCGAGGUGAGACUGCCGGGUAUUUUGCGCAAAUUACUUCAUUCAGAGAUGAGUGGGAUGAGAAUGGGCGUAGUCUAAAUCACAUUAUGGACAUCGUGUGGUUUAAAACUAUCAAGGCCAAGCCCAGAAAUGUCUCAGAGGCUUUGGCUAAAGGAGCACCAGAAACUAUGUGCUCCUCAUAAGGGUGUAUUAUUUCAAAAAGAUUUCAGAGGAGCAGGCAUUCUCCCCACACUUGGACCUCUUCCUGCUUUUUCUUGGAGCCAGUAUUUCCUGGCAGACUUGGAUAGAACAAAACCAGGAAGCUCUAAGCAGCAUGGAACUCUCAGGUGUGGCCUUCAAGUUUCUCCUGCACCUCCCAGGAAGCAUUCGCAGGAGCGCAUUGAAACUGGAUGCGAAAAGAAGGAAAUUUUGUCACAUGCUGCCGCAUGGAUGAAACUUAUGAUGUUACACUCAAUGAAAUAUGCCGCUCAUUGAUUCUCAGUUUUGGAGAAAAGUAAGGAAUAUCACAGACAAGACAAUGUGGAAGCCGAUGUUCAGAACUGCACAGUGGCUUUUCAAGGACCACCCAGUUGACUUUGUCCUCUAUUUUACAUUCCCCUCCCUGUGUGUGCCAUGGAAACUUUUGGCUAAUUGUUUGGAUGGUUAUCAAGGUUUGAAUACAAUUCAGUUCAGCAACCACAUACUGAUUCUAGAAGGAUUGCACUGAGUCAAGUUGUUAGAGUAUCAUAAAAAUCCUUUUCUUCUCUAAAUUAUGUGUAGGUCAGUACACAAUAUACAAAUCCUAGGGCUAUCCAGACUCACUUCCCGAUGAGCCAAACCACUUUUGAAGAGUUACUUGCAUCCUGUCAGGUGC